UCAAUGUAGACAUUUAUCUACAGCCUGUGAAAUAAAUACAUUUUAAAAUAAUGUUUCAUUAAAAUUAAAGCCGAGAAAGAUAAAACAUAGAAGUAUCGAGAAUUAUAUAUACAAUUUAAUUACUUUCAUGAGACGUAAAGUAUUGUAGCAAUAAUAAAACUACAAACAUGUGUGAUAAAAUGGAAUGGAUUAUCUUGAAGCGAAAGCGGCAAUCAAACAAAAGAAACAAGUAGCAAAGCAUACACUAUAUGCAAUAAAGAGUAUGGUCAACUCAUUUGAAAUGGAAAUCUAUCAGUUUGUAAAAAUAUAAAUGCUUUUAAAGGAUCUUGUUGCAAUGAACUAAGACUCUUUAUGUCUAAACCAACACAAACUACAGCUAUUUCAGUUGAAGCUAAAGUUUUGCUUUUUUGGGUCUAUCAAAUACUGCAUGGAGGCAUUGCUGGAAAAUCCAGUUCACAGCAAACUGUAUCAAGUGUGGUGAAACAAGUCAUAGAGUGUCUUAAUUUACCAUUUUUGUAACAGAAAUACAUAACAUUUCCUACAAAUAUAGACUAAUGUAGGAUGAUUGUUGUAUGAUUUUUGGUAUGCAAAAUAAAUCAAGAGAUUGUACUAAACAAUAACACUCAAUGUUCAAAUUAAUCUCAUAAAGAAUCCAUAUUUAUAAAUGAUUUUGUGCUAGUAUUAUCUACCUACAAAAAGGAUUUUGACACCAGUUGUGGAUUCUCUACCAAAUACACCUGAAGCCUUCUACAACAAUAUACUAUCUAAAAUCUCAUAAUGUGGUAUUAUAAACAAUUAAGCUUCUGAAAGCAA